AUUAUUAGCUGGCUAUGAAGGAAAGAAAUGCACUUAAUUGGGUAAACAGUUUAUUUCUUAUCUUCUUUUAAGCUUUCUGAACGAACAGAAUUUGGCUAGCUGGUUUUCUACCCUUGAAAGCAUAAAGAAGGUUGGACUGUCUGAAAAUACUCUUUUCUGGGAGUAUGUUCGUAGACAACUGAAAUAAACUGCAACUCACUGGUGCCAAAUAUAUCACACAUCAGCCCACCUCCUGCCACGGUGAGCUUGUAGCAGAGAAAAGAAUGUUCUCAGGUUCAGAAAGGGGCUUCCCUGCUGAGGAGCCAUGCUCUUUCCACGAUGAAGAACUAGAGACCGUCUUGUGCAGUGGGCUGGCAGAGAGGAGCCACACAGUGAAGUGUAAAUUGCUCAGGAUCACAAUUCAGAGGACAUGGGUUCUCACCUUGGCUCUAUGACUCAUUUUGUGCCUUUCACCCCUACAAUCUCUCCGAACCUCAGUCUCUGAAUGAAUGAAAUGAGACUGACCAAACCAAUCUGGCUAAAUAUAAAGGUAUAACAUCCUGAUC
rnacentral:lncRNA from 10 species